AGUUUUCUCAUCCGACAUCAAUUGCAAAAAGUAGUUUUGCGGUAUAUUUUGAAGCAGACUGCGUUCAAGCCAUUUUCUCACUUAAAUGAACCCGAUGCAAGUAUCAUCCUUUCUUGGAUCGACACUUAGCUUAGAUGCACAAUAUGACAACGUUAUAUUUAUUCUAAAUGUCUCAAAAUUAUUCUUUAGCUCAAUUUUUACUCAUUUCUUUGUCCAUGGAUCAUUUUAAUUUGCUCAAAGUGAUCCAAAUUUAUAUUUUAUUAUUUCAUAAAGUUCCUCAUAAUUUUUAGGAUAAUGAUAUAUCAUUCUUAUAUUUUUCUCUUAACUUUAUGAGCUAAAUUCUACGGUAUUUAAACCAAUUUGUACCGUUAAAUAUUGUAUUAUAAUGUAUAUAUAUAUAUAUAUAUAUAUAUAUAUAUAACUCACGCACACCCUCCCUCACAAUUCUAAUCCUCACGUUCACUCUCUGUUUCUUUCCCUCAUCACCGACUAUACACACACAAAAUGAAUAUACUAAAUUAUCUCCACUAUUUCUUCUUGCUUUAAGUACUGAAGAAAACAAUCAAACUUUUCUUUCAAACUCUUGUCACAAAAUCAAAUUCCAUUCUCACUCUCUUUAACGUGUCUCUGUGGCAGCACCUACAAAUUUCUCCAUCAAAUUUCUAUUCCAUAUUACUUUCUCCUACCACUAGUGCAAGAGCCUUGUCUAUUUAAUUAAAUCAAGAAGAAUCAGAUAUCAUCUUUUUCACAAUUGAAGAAGAGGGGUCGUGAACAAGUAGGAAUUGGAGAUUUCGGCACCGUUCCGUCGUUUCUUGACCGAUCGUCGCACUGAUAGUUGCUACGCGUAGACCUCGAGGUGAUUUUGAGGAAUUCCCAGAGGAGCAAGCCUUUGAUUGUGAACAAGUGUUAGGAGAUCGUCCUGGAGAAUCUACAGAUGUCUUUGGCGGACUGGUUCACGACGGUUCACCCUUCGGGGGAAACUAGAGUUGGGAUGCUGGAACAGGAGCGCAUCGCGAUAGCGAGCGGAGGACGGAUGGUGUACAUAGACUAGGUCGUUCUGGAUUUCGAAUUCGGACGACGAUCAUGCCAGCAUGUAGGAUUGAGUGUUAGUGUGAGCUCCUCGAGAUGGGAUUAGUGUAGGAGUAGAGUCUUAGCUCUGAACAUUAUUUGUUUCAUUCGGGACAGGGUAGUUUCCCACCUAUAGCUUUUUGUGUGGUUUCUUUACGGGAAUCACAGAGAGUUGGUUGGACUUAGGAGGUCUUGUUUCAGGCCGAUGGGCCAGCUUAUUCUCAGUUUUGAGGGAUAGUGUUGCGGACACUUACCUUUAGAUUUGGUUUGUACAUUUUGCCUUCGGGCGCUACACUUUUCUUUCCGUCACUGGAGGUUACUCGUGACGAGGUUGUUACUUACAGCGGGGGCUGUUUAUAUAUUGU